GAUCCUGGCUCAGAAUCAACGCUGGCGGCGUGCCUAACACAUGCAAGUCGCACGAGAAAGUGGAGCAAUCCAUGAGUACAGUGGCGCACGGGUGAGUAACACGUGAAUCAUCUACCUUCGAGUGGGGAAUAACUGGGAGAAAUCUCAGCUAAUACCGCAUAAUACCUACGGGUCAAAGCAGCAAUGCGCUUGAAGAGGAGUUCGCGGCAGAUUAGUUAGUUGGCGGGGUAAUGGCCCACCAAGACGAUGAUCUGUAUCCGGCCUGAGAGGGCGCACGGACACACUGGAACUGAAACACGGUCCAGACUCCUACGGGAGGCAGCAGUGGGGAAUUUUGCGCAAUGGGGGAAACCCUGACGCAGCAACGCCGCGUGGAGGAUGAAAUCCCUUGGGAUGUAAACUCCUUUCGAUAGGGAAGACAAUGACGGUACCUAUAGAAGAAGCCCCGGCUAACUUCGUGCCAGCAGCCGCGGUAAUACGAGGGGGGCAAGCGUUGUUCGGAAUUAUUGGGCGUAAAGGGUGCGUAGGCGGUCUGACAAGUCUGAUGUGAAAUCUAUGGGCUCAACCCAUAGUCUGCAUCGGAAACUGUCGGGCUUGAGUAUGGGAGAGGUGAGUGGAAUUUCCGGUGUAGCGGUGAAAUGCGUAGAUAUCGGAAGGAACACCUGUGGCGAAAGCGGCUCACUGGACCAU
rnacentral:rRNA from 1 species